rnacentral:rRNA from 1 species
CCUACGGGAGGCAGCAGUGAGGAAUAUUGGUCAAUGGACGAGAGUCUGAACCAGCCAAGUAGCGUGAAGGAUGACUGCCCUAUGGGUUGUAAACUUCUUUUAUAAGGGAAUAAAACGAGGCACGUGUGCCUUUUUGCAUGUACUUUAUGAAUAAGGAUCGGCUAACUCCGUGCCAGCAGCCGCGGUAAUACGGAGGAUCCGAGCGUUAUCCGGAUUUAUUGGGUUUAAAGGGAGCGUAGAUGGGUUGUUAAGUCAGUUGUGAAAGUUUGCGGCUCAACCGUCAAAUUGCAAUUGAGACUGGCAGUCUCGAGUACAGUUGAGGUAGGCGGAAUGCGUGGUGUAGCGGUGAAAUGCUUAGAUAUCACGAAGAACCCCGAUUGCGAAGGCAGCUUACUAACCUGUGACUGACAUUGAUGCUCGAAAGUGUGGGUAUCAAACAGGAUUAGAUACCCCAGUAGUC